UAUGUGUUGGGUUUCUAAUUGGAUGUUUCUGCUGUAAACAUUUGCUGUGUACUUGGAGGUUUUUAAAGUGACAUGUUUAGUUCUUUCUGCAGGUCUUCAUACAUUAAUUUAAAACUUGCUGUGUACUUGGACUAUUCUAUAUACUUUCUAAAGUAAACUUGCAUUUUAUCUCUCUAUCGUUUACUUUUCAGUGUACGCGUUUAUAAACCUUUGCACAUGCAUCAUGCAUAUCUUAAACUGUAUCUUCUUCAAGUUUCAGAAUUUGACAUUUAUAAAAUAUGGAUCAGAUUUUUCUGUUCCAAGCUUGUACUUUUUGGUAUGUUAGUAUAUGAUGGCUGUUGUUGUCAUUAUUGUUUGUUGGUUUCGUGCUAUACUACUAGACAUCGUUACAACCUCAAAUUUUGAGAUGUAUGAACCCUCGGUUCACAUUCUGUUACUUUGUUAUUUUGACUGAAGCAUACCAGUUGCUCUAGUUUUUCAAUAUUUUCCCGUUAAACUCUUGUAUUAACAUGUCGAAAUGGAAUAACAACAAUCAUCAGUCAACAGUUUUCUAAAAUAGGUCUUAUUGUGUUGUAUUUAGUAUCUUUUUGCCAGUUUCUAUAAUCUAAAGAAAAUUUCUGGUACUGAUUAGUACCAUAUAACUGUGAUAUUACCAAUUUCAAAAUUCUCAUUGAUCUGGUGCAUGUUUUAUGUGAAUUAAAAGAAUCCUUGCUCGUUGAAUUUUGAUAUUACUUUCAAAUUGUUGAUAGGAAUGAUUGUAGUAACAUGGUUCACUGUAGUAAUAUGGAUUCAUUUACCAAUAAAUUUAGUUCUGGUUGUCUUUCACUUUCUACUUUCUGGUGCUGAUUUCGAUUUGAAUUUUGUUAAAUUAUUCUGUGCUCGUUAUGCUUAGUUGUCCUUAUGCUUGUAUAUGCAUUAAUGCAUACCAAAAUUCUCAUAUGUACUUAAUAAUAAAAACAGUGGACUUAGCUUUUUUAUUUGUUAUUUUCAAUACAAUCUGUCUCUGGUAUCAUAAGGAUCAAAGUGGCGGAGAAGCAGAUUAUUGGAAGUGACGUUGUUAUGGAGUGGAAACUGUGGUACCCUUGCUUAAAUCUACAAGUACCAAACAUGAAUUGUACUUCAUAAUGGUGUUAAUGAUAGAAUAUGUAGUCUCUUAAUUCAUCUGUUGGGUGGAAAUAGAAAACAAUUGUUAAACCCUGGAUGAAGCAGAGGUAUAGGAGCUUAUAGGGAUGAAGAAGAAAUAUAGCAAUUGCUACAUUGAAAGAAAUAUGUAGCAGCUCCUAGGGGUGAAGAAGACUCAUAACAACUUCUACAUACAUGAAAGGAGACGCAAGAAACAAAAGAACUUAUUUGAAAAAGAUACGAUUGCAUUCUGCUUAUACUUCACUCAGUCUAAACAAAAUGCAAAAAAACCACAGCCUUACAAUUGAAGACAUUUUUGUAUGCUCAGACCAAAAGAAGAAGAAGAAGAAGAAGACAUUUUUGUAUGCAUUUUGGUGCUUGACCUUGUGGAGAAGAGCUAUAAAUUUUCUUGAAGAUAUGAUGAAUGCUUAUAUUCAUCAAAAUGUUGAAUUGGAAAGUGGAAAUCAAAUCUUACUCAGAAAAUAAUAGAAGCGACUGUUUCACACUAAGAGGAAACUGUGCUUGUUUUGCAUGGUAAGACUUUGGGAAUUCCUUUAGAUCUGCUGUUUGGGUGAGUGGCCAAGUAGCUAGGUACAUUAUAAGAAAUGUGUUUCUUUGUUGCUAGCAUGAGGUCCUUGAAAAAUCCAGAUAAAUUGCAUAAGCAUAUCCUAUCGAUAGUGACCAGUUGAAAAAUCACCAUUCUUGGACGAUUCAUUACUUAUUUUGGACUUGGUCUAUUACUGCAGAAAUGGCACAUAUUGUUCUUUGAUCAAUAAGCUUUGCUUGGAGAAUACCCUUUUCUGUUUAAUCAUGUUAUGGGGUUUAUCUUAGAAGGAAAGUGAUGUUUCAAUCUGUUCAUGAUAUGCUCCUUGCAACUUCUGUAAGUUAAUAAUGGUGAGAAGUGCACAAAGGAUUUUUAGCUUUCUUUCAAUUAUUCUAUGGCUUUUUAUCAUUUUACAGCAUUGUUUUGUUUGUGUCUCCAUUGUGUCAUGUGUAAAGGUUGAAUCCUGUGAAAUUGAUACAAAGUAACCGAGUAAGAUGUUUGCUAGCUUCCUUUUUUGUUUCUUGUUUAGACUUGAUCUUAUUUUCAUUGUUAUCUUGAUAAGGACAAGUUUAAAUUCUUUCACUUUUCUAUUAUUGCAGGGUUUUAUUGAUUAGGUUGGUGGCAGCGUGGAUAUUAAACACAGCUUUGUUGUCUUGGAUGCUGAAAACAGUAGUGAUUUACGCUUGGAAAUGGAAGUUAAUUUGGUCUAUUUGGUGUAGAUUUAUACCUGUUGGGUUAGACUUUACUUUUGAUGAGAUGUGUAUGAGACUGUUGAUGCAAUGAGUGGAAGAAUCUCUAUAGGUUAUCUACACUACUUGUGCUUAUGGGAAUUGGCAUGGCUAUCCUUUUUGGGUAUAAUUCCCAGUUAUGAGUCAUUUUGAAAGGAGUUCAUAUUUUCUUGUAUGAGUUGUAUCUGUUGUGUUUCCUUCUACUUCAUCUCAUUUUAACUUGAGCGAAGUUUUAUGAUACUUUUUACCACCAUGUAAUUGUGAUCUUACCAAUCAUUUCAAAAUCUUCAUUGCUCUGGUUUUCGGGUUUUAUGCGAAUUAACAGGUUUGUAUUUUAAUCUUUUUGCCAGUUGAACAUGUAUAUACCACUUUCAAAUUGUCAAACACAAUGAUUGUGGAAUAUAGUUUCACUGUUCAAAUAUCGAGUACUGAGUUGUUACAAUUAUGUUUAGUUUGGUUGGUCUUUCACUUAAGUUUUUUUGUUCAUGGCUUUGAAUCUUAAAUUGAUAUAUUAUAGAACAAUUAAUUCUGUGCUUGCGAUGCAAGUUGUUGCAUGUUUGUUCAUGUAUAUGGAGAUUUGCACCUGUAUACUUUCGUUCUCUAUAGUAGGAACUAGGAAAUCGUCCCUAAAAAAAAUCGACGUUUUAUUUUUAUGAUCUUCUGACAUCUAGCUCAUAUGGAGAGAAGAGAACCAGAUCGAAAGAACUGAUCAUAUGAAGAAGAUAACUUACCUUCUGCUUAGACUUCGCUGCGUUUAAACAAAAUGCAACCAUAGUCUUACAAUUUGGUGCUUGAGCAGAUUGAAUUGGAAAGUGUAAACAAGUCUUACUCCAGCAACUAUUUCACAUGGUGGACACUGCUGCUAGUCUAGGGAGGUUCUGGUAUCAAAUAUUAGUGGAAAG